rnacentral:tRNA from 1 species
AAGACACUAGUAUAAUAGGCCAAUACACUGCUUUGUCAGGGCAGAGCCGUGGGUUAAACCCCCGCGUGUCUUA